UCUUUCUUUAACACACACACACACACACACACAUAUGGUAAAUCAAUUAUGUGUGUGUGUGUGUGUGUGUGUGUGUGUGUGUGUAGGGAGAGAGA
rnacentral:miRNA from 1 species